GGAAAUGUGCCCGAAAGAUAAGGACCUCUUUGAUAUAGAGGCCUAUAGGGGUUCGAGUCCCCUCACUUCCAU
rnacentral:tRNA from 1 species